AGUCAUAUCUUAUAUACACUUCUCUUCUUUUUAUCCAUUGUUUUUUCUGUAUUUUACAUAAUAUUAUUCUGGCGUGAUUAGUGUUGGUACUGGGGCAAGCCUUUAUGAAAUCUAUAUCUUGAGAUAGUAUUGUUAUAAUGCAAAUAUGCAAUACAAUUAUCCAUCUAACCUGCCAAGUAACCACCAACCUUAUUCUUUUCUCCUCCGCAACUAAUUAACAGAGAAUUUCUGAUUUUAAGAGCCAUGUAUAAAGUGUAGGAAAUUUCAAAGUCAAGAAGAAACUAUUAUUCUCUUUCUUGAUUUUAGAGUGAUACUUUCAUUUGAAACUUUCUUUACAUAAAAUUUUCCCACUUUUUCAUUUUCUAAAGACUUGACAAGAUUGUUCUUCACUUUGGAUUCAAGACUAUAUACUCUUUCAUUCUGUGGAGAUUUGAUUAGAUAUUUACCUUGAGAAAAUAUAUUCCCCAAACGUUUUUGGAUAUUAAUACAUGUCCACAUACAAUUUUUAAUGGUGAACUCAUGAAUCUUUUGUGUUUGCCUAGUUUUAUUCUGUUGCAUUGUUUCUCAAAUUUGAUAAUUUAUUCAGAAUAUUCAUGGCAUAGUAUCAUGCUUUGAGCUUUGAAAUUCAUAAUAAUAAAUAGUAUCAUGCUUUGACCAUAGCCGAAAGAUCUUUUGGUACUUGUGGAAUUAAAAUUAAUUUAUCUAUUACUGAUGGCCCUAAUACUCUGCUUUAGUAGAAAAAUGAAGGAUCUUUUAUAUCCUGCAUACACUACUUAUGAUUGCGAAAAUUUGAUGCAUCUGUACCCACACAAUGUCUCACCAUUUUGCAGAAACUGCAAAGCAUUUAUUGUCCCCAUCUAAAGGAAGGAUGUGUGAAGGGAAAGAGCCAGGUGGUCCUAAAUUUGCAUGAAGAAAAUAAGUUUGCCAAAUGUUAUGGAUAUACCUGGCCACAAUAUAUAAAAUGGAAAAGGAAGGUUCUUUUCAAGACCUGCUUAUUGUAAUUAUGAUUGCAAAAAGCUGAUAUAAUGCCUCACCAUAUAGUGGAAAUUGUAGAUUUUUGUUGUCCCCCAUUAAAAGGAUAUGUGCCAAGGGAAAACUGAAAAGAGCCAGGGUGGUCCAAGAUUGUCCAAAUAUAAUACAAAUAGAAAGAUUGUUCAUAUUCUGUCAUAGAAAUCCACUGGGAUAGUUUCAGGUACUCAUUUUUUAGCCGGGAGAAUUGAGAUCUACUUAAGCACAAAUAGUUGCAGGGCUAUUUUGUAGUUAUUUUCAAUUGGGAGGAUAGUUCAAAUCUAUUUGGAACAAGUCAAGAAUGUUGUUCCUGACAAAGAAAGCCUCGUGUUGACUGGUGUUGCUUGAAAUCCCUCUCCAUUUGCACGGAUGGUAGGACCCACUUUGUGAGAUCUUUUCUAGUUGUUAUUGUUGUAAUCCAAGAAUGGCUUUUUUUAUGUCUUUGUAGACUCUAGCAUUUGUUCUAGAAAGAUUGUUGUAAACACAUUAUUCUAUAGUGGAAGAUUUUACUGGACUAGGUCUCGUGGUUUUUCCCUUCCCAUUGAAGGGUUUUCCACGUAAAAAUUUGGUAUCUUGA